AGUGAACGCUGGCGGUAGGCCUAACACAUGCAAGUCGAACGGCAGCACAGUAAGAGCUUGCUCUUACGGGUGGCGAGUGGCGGACGGGUGAGGAAUACAUCGGAAUCUACUUUUUCGUGGGGGAUAACGUAGGGAAACUUACGCUAAUACCGCAUACGACCUACGGGUGAAAGCAGGGGAUCUUCGGACCUUGCGCGAUUGAAUGAGCCGAUGUCGGAUUAGCUAGUUGGCGGGGUAAAGGCCCACCAAGGCGACGAUUCGUAGCUGGUCUGAGAGGAUGAUCAGCCACACUGGAACUGAGACACGGUCCAGACUCCUACGGGAGGCAGCAGUGGGGAAUAUUGGACAAUGGGCGCAAGCCUGAUCCAGCCAUACCGCGUGGGUGAAGAAGGCCUUCUGGUUGUAAAGCCCUUUUGUUGGGAAAGAAAAGCAGCAGGUUAAUACCCCGCUGUUCUGACGGUACCCAAAGAAUAAGCACCGGCUAACUUCGUG
rnacentral:rRNA from 1 species